rnacentral:lncRNA from 1 species
UUGGAAAUGCAUUAAUAGUUUAAAAAAUCAAAACAAUCAGAAGUUUCUAAUAAAAAAUCGAAGAAUUAAAAAGUUUACAACCAAAAGAAUUGCAAAGAUGAUUUACAAUGCAGAAAAAAAUAUAAGCCCAAGUAUCAGCUAACUAAGAAUGGACUUGUAAUAAUGGUAGAGAAAUAAAGGAAGAAAAUGAAGGAAAAGAAGAAGAGGGCAA